GAUGAACGCUGGCGGCGUGCCUAAUACAUGCAAGUCGAGCGAACAGAUGAGGAGCUUGCUCCUCUGACGUUAGCGGCGGACGGGUGAGUAACACGUGGAUAACCUACCUAUAAGACUGGGAUAACUUCGGGAAACCGGAGCUAAUACCGGAUAAUAUAUUGAACCGCAUGGUUCAAUAGUGAAAGACGGUUUUGCUGUCACUUAUAGAUGGAUCCGCGCCGCAUUAGCUAGUUGGUAAGGUAACGGCUUACCAAGGCAACGAUGCGUAGCCGACCUGAGAGGGUGAUCGGCCACGCUGGAACUGAGACACGGUCCAGACUCCUACGGGAGGCAGCAGUAGGGAAUCUUCCGCAAUGGGCGAAAGCCUGACGGAGCAACGCCGCGUGAGUGAUGAAGGUCUUCGGAUCGUAAAACUCUGUUAUUAGGGAAGAACAAAUGUGUAAGUAACUAUGCACGUCUUGACGGUACCUAAUCAGAAAGCCACGGCUAACUACGUG
rnacentral:rRNA from 1 species